UACAGGGGGGGCAAGCGUUGUUCGGAAUUACUGGGCGUAAAGGGCUCGUAGGCGGCCAACUAAGUCAGACGUGAAAUCCCCAGGCUCAACCUGGGAACUGCGUCUGAUACUGGAUGGCUUGAAUCCGGGAGAGGGAUGCAGAAUUCCAGGUGUAGCGGUGAAAUGCGUAGAUAUCUGGAGGAAUACCGGUGGCGAAGGCGGCAUCCUGGACCGGCAUUGACGCUGAGGAGCGAAAGCCAGGGGAGCAAACGGG
rnacentral:rRNA from 1 species